UACGGAGGAUGCAAGCGUUAUCCGGAUUUAUUGGGUUUAAAGGGUGCGCAGGUUGUUUGAUAAGUCAGUGGUGAAAGUCUGUCGCUUAACGGUAGGAUUGCCAUUGAUACUGUUAGACUUGAAUAUGGAUGAGGUAGGCGGAAUGUGUAGUGUAGCGGUGAAAUGCAUAGAUAUUACACAGAACACCGAUUGCGAAGGCAGCUUACUAAUCCAUCAUUGACGCUGAGGCACGAAAGCGUGAGGAU
rnacentral:rRNA from 1 species